UGGGGAAUAUUGCGCAAUGGGCGAAAGCCUGACGCAGCCAUGCCGCGUGUGUGAAGAAGGCCCUAGGGUUGUAAAGCACUUUCAAUUGGGAGGAAAAGCUAACGACUAAUACUCGUUAGCCCUGACGUUACCUUUAGAAGAAGCACCGGCUAACUCCGUGCCAGCAGCCGCGGUAAUACGGAGGGUGCAAGCGUUAAUCGGAAUUACUGGGCGUAAAGCGCGCGUAGGCGGCUUUUUAAGUCGGAUGUGAAAGCCCCGGGCUCAACCUGGGAACUGCACCCGAUACUGGAAGGCUAGAGUGCGAGAGAGGGAGGUAGAAUUCCAUGUGUAGCGGUGAAAUGCGUAGAUAUAUGGAGGAAUACCAGUGGCGAAGGCGGCCUCCUGGCUCGACACUGACGCUGAGGUGCGAAAGCGUGGGGAGCAAACAGG
rnacentral:rRNA from 1 species